rnacentral:rRNA from 1 species
CAGUAGCCGCGGUAAUACGGAGGGGGCUAGCGUUGUUCGGAAUUACUGGGCGUAAAGCGCACGUAGGCGGCUUGGUAAGUUAGAGGUGAAAGCCCGGAGCUCAACUCCGGAAUUGCCUUUAAGACUGCCGAGCUAGCAGGUGAGAGAGGUAAGUGGAAUUCCGAGUGUAGAGGUGAAAUUCGUAGAUAUUCGGAAGAACACCAGUGGCGAAGGCGGCUUACUGGCUCAUACUGACACUGAGGUGCGAAAGCGUGGGGAGCAAACAGGAUUAGAUACCCCCGUAGUCCCUGUCUCUUAUACA